AAAUGAUGGAGAUAAAAGGCCGAGCGUACUACGACGAGCUCACUUGCAAAGGAGAAGGAGCCACCAGGUUUCAAGCAGGGCCUCGGAUUUUCCUCCUCCUCAGAAAAUGCCCCACUAAAGGCUCGGUUCUGCCUUCCUCGUCGUCAUCUUUUCUCACCACCAGAGCGAGAGAGGAGUUCGGAAAAGAAUAGAAGUAAAGAAGGGGGUAGGGAUACGGAUACGGAUACGGAUAGAGAGGUUAAAUUGGGGAGGGAAAGAAAUGGUGGGGUUGUUUAUUCAAUGAUGAUUGAGGGCUAUGACAAUUUGUAUGAUAAAAAGCUGUAUCUCUGUGUAAACGGGCACCAGCUCAAAGAGUCAAGAUCAAGAGUCAAAGAGUCAAAGCCAAGAUGAAACUUCAGCUUGCCGAAACUGGUAUCUCUUUCAUGGAGCUGUGUAAAAGAAUUUAGGUUCAGUCAUCACCUUCACCUUCCAUAAGUACAGAUAGGGAGCUGGGAGCAGAGGAAAUGAAAAGGAGAGCAAUGACAAUGACCUUGUUGGUCCGUUGGAAGCAUCUUAAGCGAGCAGGUCCUCGUCAUUCAUCAAUCAGUAUUCAGCAGAAGAAAUCUGUAUCAAGUGCUUCAAGAAAAGGAAUGAAAGCCUCGAUGGAGAAGGAAGACUUUGAACCUUCCCCGUGUACACCAGAAAGUAGUACCGAUAUCUACAGGCACAAUUUGCGUGGUUAUGGUCAAUUUGUUGAUUAGUUUCUUUAAUUUCCGUAGUACCCAUACAGUUCCCCUUGCUGAUUAGUUUCUUUAAUUUUCGCGGUUAUGGUCAAUUUGCCCCACUAGUGCCCACCAAAAGCAUCUGUUGAUCCCCAAUUGUUUCCCCUACUUCCACCAGCUUCAUUCGUUGAUACGGUUCCCGUGUUCCAGCCACCAGUGAUAGCACCACUAGAGCCUCCCCUGUCUGAACGGCCUUUACUAAAUACCUCAGCCAAUGCCCAAAAUCUGAAAUCACUUCGCCCGUUUCCUUCGCACGAAAGCCACUCAAGCCAUAUGGUCCAGAUCUCUGCCCUAGAGUGUUUGUUUCCUUCGCAAAAAAGCCAUUCCAGUCGUUUCUCGUCAACACAGAACCACUCAAGGCAAAGAGAAGCCAUUGAAGCUGCUCAGAGAUGGAGGCGACUUGAUGCAGCCAAGGCCCAACUCAAGCAGUUGCCUGUAGCAGCAGCACCAGCACAUCCUGCCGUGAGCUUGGAAAAAUAGAAACCUAAAUCUUGGAGGCUUGCUUGUCAAACUAUUGUUGGAAAUAAGGAAAAUUCUAGCAAGGAUGGAGCCUUCAUUUGAUGCGGAUCCCUUCUUCAUUACUCUCUUGCAAAGUGGUGGACAAGAGGAAGACAGCACCCCCUUCAAUAGCAUGCAUGAUAAUGUGGUGGUCCAACCAUCACAAGCUGAAGGUGAACAAAGGCCACCUAUUAAAAAAUCUCAACGAGGUGUGUCUUUCACCACUGAGGAGGAUAAUCUUUUUGUUUCAGCUUAGCUAAACAUUAGCUUUGAUGCUAUUCGAGGGACUGACCAAAAAUCCACACAAAUGUGGGAAAGAAUUUAUGAAUAAUAUCAUGAGUAUAAAAAACCAAACAACCUGAAUGUUCGAUUGCGUCAUUGACCAAUAUGUGGCAAUCGAUCCAAAAAUGCACAAACAAGUUUUGUGCUACUGUAGCACAAGUAGAGUCUUUGCAUCCAAGUGAUACCACAGAGGUCAAUAAGGUAUUAAUUUUGUUUUUCCUUUAGUUUUUUUUAUAUGCUUGGGCUUAUUUACAUACUAACUUUAUCACUUUGUUCAUUUAAAAUUGAGAAAGUAAAAAUAAUGUACAAAGAAAUUGAGAAGGCAAACUUUACUAUGGAGCAUUGUUGGUGUCUAUUGAGACACCGACCAAAAUGGCAGCAACAUCAGUCAACAUUGUCAACAAGGAGGAAACCACAUGGAAGAUGUCCGGCCAGAGCUAGCUUAACUCCAGACGGAGACGAUAUUUUGGAUGACAACGUGGAGGUCAUCCUUGAGAGACCUCCAGGCAAUAAGGCUGAAAAAGACAAGGAAAGAAAGAGGAAGUCUAGAGAUGAUGUAGAUUCUGAAUUUACCCAUGCCUUAGCUUGCAUGACUGAUGAAAGAAAUACAUUCAGGAUGGACAGAAGAGAAUUUAACAGCAAGCAAGAGCGGGAUAUAAAUGAACAUCUUGCACUUCAGAAGAAGUUCGAAGCUGAGAUAAUGAGAUUAGAUCUUGAUAGGAUGAAAUCAAAGCAACAAUUUUAUUUCCAACGUCUUCAGGAUGAAAUUUUAAUUUAUGAAAAAAAAAUUAAUAGAACAAAAAAAAAUUAUAUUAUUAAAUUUAUAAUAUUUUAUUAUUAUUUUGACUAAUAUAUGGGUAAUCCAAUAUGAGAAUAAGUUUUAAGUGGAAUAACCAAAUGCAAAAUCAUAUCAUAUUAUGCAAAUUUUGCAUUUGUAUUUGCAUAAUCGAAUGCUAAGAACAUUGGCAUUGAACUAGUCAAAUACCAAUGUAAAUCUAUAAUUUGGCUAGAUGUGAGGAAAAACAUUUAUAUUGGACUAGUCAAUGCUCCAAAGCUCAACAUAUGAGCUAUAGUAAAUUAGGGGAUCUCUCUAUUGUUGGCGAGUUACUAUUCACCAUCCAUCUCAUUAUUUUCUUAUUUCCAUCAACUUCUCCUCUUUCUUUCUCUCGUUCUUUUUCUUUCUCUUCAGACCCGCAACAUUCUUGUCGCCCUCUUCUCUCCCUCGUUUGGCCUUCUUCUCUCGCAUGAAUUGGUUGGAUUCUCCCGUCUUCUUCCAAGUUAGGCCAAACGGUAACUCUUCUUUGCUUUUCUCUCCCUCUUCUCUGUGCAUUUUCUCUUAGUCUCUCAUCUCCCUCUUCUCUCAUUUUUUGCUCCGAUUCUAAUGUACUCCUAAAAAUCUCUAAUUUUCUCUUUAAUAAGCAAUUAAACGGAGUCGUUGUGGCGGCAAAUCCAUCAUUCCUCUCUUAGUACAUAGCUGCUCUUCCUUUUUCCCUUCUCAGAUAUGCACAUUAAAGCUCUUUUUUUCCUACCCUUAUGUAAAUUUUACUCACUAAAACUAAACUUCACCACUGCCAAUUUAUUCUUUUGUUUGCUUCGUUUUGUCUGUGAUUUUCUUUGUGAAAAUUUUAUUUUUAUGUUUUGGUUUAGAUAGGUCCCCUUAAUUAUGUGAUAUAUGAAAAUAUGUGCCAAUAGAUUUGGCUGUUUUGGAUCAGAAUAGCUAAUAGAUUCAAUUGUUUUGGCUAUUGAUGGUUUGGAACCUUUUAAUUAUCCUGCUACAAUUGAAGUCACAUUGAUGUAUAGUUUUUUCCCCAUCUACAUAUUUGCAAGGACUUGCAUUUAUAGAAUUGAUUCUGCCUUUGUUUGUUUGGACAAGAAAUUGAGGAUGAGAAACUUAAGCUGGACCAGUGCUUUUUAAGCCUCUAAAUGAAGGUAACUUAAAUCUGCUCUGUUUAUCUUCUAAAUCCUAAAAAGUGGACCAAUUUAACUAAAGACAAUUUCCAUGUAGUCUUUCCAUUACAUCAACUAGCUUAAAGAAAUCAAAAACUUCAUUUCCUUCCAUGCCAAAGAUGUCAUAAGCCAUUUUAAUCACGUUAGUUCGCUUUAAAUAGCAAACCAGUUAAAUAAGUGUUUGUUUUGUCCAUAUUCUGUCUUUUAUUUGCAGGUUUGUCAUCAAAUAUAUGUUUGUGAUUCUACAUGCAACAAUGGUGUGAAUUCUUUUAUUACUUUGCCUUGUUUGUAAGUGCCACAAAAGGUAAAUUUUUAAAUUUUCAGAUGCAGGAGUUUGGCUUGUUUUUACAGCAAGCUUGUGGAAUGGUGCUAUCUAUCUAAACUCACUAAUAUUCCAAUGUCCUAUUUCUAAACUGUCAUAUUGAAUGAACUAUGCAGUGACUGAGGUGGAGAAGAAUGCAUAUUAUAAUGGGGAUUAUGGCAAGGGUGGUUGUGUUUGUAGAGUCUGUUUCCAGCUGCAAGGGUGGUUGUUCUGUUUCAUAUACUAAAAAUGUGUAGAAUUCAAACUAAAGAAGAAGAAGUUGGAUGAUGUGCAUUUUAUGUAUGAUCUAGUAUUUGGAUCCUUGAUUUUUCCUUAUUAUUUAUAGGGUUUCAUUAGCUCAAGCGAAAGUUGUUGUGCAUGAAGUAGUACUGCAUUCAGAUUAUAAAGUUGUAAUAUGUAGGAAAAAAUGA